rnacentral:rRNA from 1 species
AACGCGAAGAACCUUACCUUGGCUUGACAUCUCCAGAAUCUCGGGGAAACUUGAGAGUCCCUUCGGGAGCUGGAACACAGGUGGUGCAUGGCUGUCGUCACCUCGUGUCGUGAGAUGUUGGGUUAAGUCCCCCAACGAGCGCAACCCUCGUCCUUAGUUGCCAUCAUUAAGUUGGGCACUUUAUGGAGACUGCCGGUGACAAACCGGAGGAAGGUGGGGAUGACGUCAAGUCACCAUGCCCCUUACGUCCUGGGCUACACACGUACUACAAUGGGAAGGACAGAGGGUAGCAAGCCCGCGAGUGCAAGCCAAUCCCAUAAACCUUUCCUCACUUCAGAUUGCAGGCUGCAACUCGCCUGCAUGAAGGCGGAAUCGCUAGUAAUCGCAGGUCAGCAUACUGCGGUGAAUACGUUCCCGGGUCUUGUACACACCG